AGGUAUUCUAAUUGAGAACAUGUGACGUGAAGGAUUUGUGUUAUCCAUUUCACCACCUAAAGUAAUGUUUAAAACUGAGAAUUCAACGAAGCUUGAGCCAAUUGAAGAAGUCACCAUAAAGAGUCAGGAAUACAAGGGGGAGGAUGAAAGCAAGCUAGAUAAGACGAAGGCUGCUAUAACUAGACUGCAGUCACUAAUUAUUGUCACAUCCCAAGCUGUCAAUACAACUUCUACUGCCAUAGUUGGACUAAG